rnacentral:tRNA from 1 species
GGAGAGAUGCCAGAGUGGUUGAAUGGGGCGGUCUCGAAAACCGUUGACCUCUUACGGGGUCCCAGGGUUCGAAUCCCUGUCUCUCCG